UAAACACGAUUCUAAUUCAUUCCCAACUGAUUUCCUACCUUUCCUUGGUGAAUUAGACAUUCAGCUUGUUCUAAUCAAAUAUAUUAUGGGUUCUCUUCCCUUGGUUGUUCUUAAUCUAUUCCAAAAGACCCGUCGACUGCUCGUGCUUCGGAGUCUACGCAGGGUUAGCUGUUUGCCAAGAUUUCACGUGGAUAAGC